rnacentral:sRNA from 1 species
UCUUUCUUCAUUACAAACUCACUGGUAUCAGUAGUGAUGUUUAUAAUGGCGGCAAAAAUGUAACAUUUAAAAAAAAUAUAUUGAUGACUGCAAACUAGUUUUUGUAGAAUGUUACAUUAAAAUGUUAUAAAAUGGAUCGUUAAGGUAUCAUUUCUAAAACAUGAUUUCGAUGCUUAAAGAAUAACAUUUCUAGACACGACUAGUAAGACUAAAAUAUAAUGCAUUUUCUCACACCAUAUCUUAAAUUAUACAGUGUGUUGCUCGCAGCCAAAACAAAUUUUCCACUUUUUUAUAAAGAAUAUAUAAAAAAAAACCUUAUAAAAUAAUUAUGGAUAUAAACAUCCUUCUAUGAACAGCGUAAUCAUGUCUUUCAAAUGAUACUCCAACGAUACAUAAAAUUAAAUGUUAGCAAUCAACCUUAAAUAAUAAAAUCAUUGUAGAAAU